rnacentral:rRNA from 1 species
AGCCUGAACGCUGGCGGCGUGGCUAAGACAUGCAAGUCGUACGGUGUAGCAAUACACAGUGGCGAACGGGUGAGUAAUGAAUCGCUAACGUACCCCGGACUCUGGGAUAGCUACCCGAAAGGGUAGGUAAUACCAGAUGACACCACCUUUCCGCAUGGUGAGGUGUUCAAAGGUCCGCC